rnacentral:lncRNA from 1 species
GGCCCGCGCUCACCUUGAGGCCGCGGAUCUCGCCGAGGUGCAGCUGCAGGCGGCGGUUCACCUCGCGGAUGAGGUUGCUGUGGUCCAGCAUCGCGCUCACCUUCUCCGCCUCGGCGCGCCGCAGGCUGCGGAUCAGCUCCUCCUUGCUCCACUGCAGCAGCUCCUCGUCCGACACUUUGGACAGGUCCUCCACCGGCGCGGGCGGGGCCGCGGACGAGCCGGCCGGGGCUGGGGAACAACUUUCCGCCGCCGCCGCAGCCGCCGCCGCGCCUCCGGCCGCCUUCGACAUGGAGAAGAGCUAACCUUGGGUAGCUGCUGUUCCUUCAGUCUGAGCCACACACUCAGCCACCCCAGCCAACCUGAAGAUCUGCAGCAUGAAGCAGAGCUAUGCUCACAGACUCACAGAUCUGUGUGUGAGAAAACAAGACUGUUGUUUAAGCUACCGACUUUUGGGGAGAUUUAUUGUGCAGCAUUACUAAUGCAAUAGUUAGCAGAUACAACUCCCCUGCCUAAAUCCCUUUGGGGGCAUCUCAGCACCUUUCUGUGGAGUGAAGCUACAUUUCUUAGCAGAGCAUGUAAGAUGGACACAGUCUGAUGCUUGCUUACUUUUUCAGCUCCAACUCCUACCAUACUUUGCCUGCCUCAUAUUUCAUACUUUUUCAGUUCUAAACUGCCUUGUAGCUCCCUGUCAGCAUUCAAUAUACCUCCGUACCACACUGAUGCUCUUUUCUCAUGCAUGAAAUGCCUUCCUUGCCUUAUCCUUCUGAAUAACUUCCAACCAGAUCCUUCAAAAGGCAUCAUCUUAUCCAGAGUGCUGGCAUCAGCCCACAUUUCCCUGGCAGAGGCAAAGGUACUAUGGCAGAAAUGGCCAGGGAAGGGUUUAUCUAACCACCAGGAGUACGCAAAGAAGAGAGGUCCAGCCAGCCUGCCUCUCAGAUUGUUAAGAUGCCAGGUGUCUUUUGGCUCAUGGAAACAGCUGUUCUGCCCCCUCCCGAACCCUAGACUCACAGCUACACUCUAUGGGGAAAGGACAAAGGGAAGGCUGCUUCCUGAAGAGAUCUCCAUAUGGAAGAGCUGCAGAUCACAAACAACCCACACAGCCAUUGUAACGCCUGCUUGCCUGGUCACUUGUGUUUCUGAGAAGCCAUAACUCCAAGAAUAGCGAAGGGAAGAAAAUGCCAAAAAGCAGGGGCUGCCUAACAGGUCUGACUUGCAAGGCAAACUCCUGGCAGGCCUGGCCAGCUUCUGCUUGUCCCAGUGCAAUCCCACCCCCAUAGGAUCUGGAAUUUUUCAGUCCCUUUGCUAAGAUUCCUGAAAUAGACUUAAUGAAGAGCCUCAGAAGUGAAAAUUCCUCUUCACACAUUUGCUCAAGAAGAUUGCUUUUCUCCUAACACAGAAAUCAGCUGCCUUGAGGAUGUGCAAGUUUGAUUAGGGAGUCUGCUCUUGCCUAUUUCUCAAACGGUUCAGGCCCUGACAGAAUCAGUGUCACCCCUAAGGUAUUUGCUUCAAAUGCCCCCCAUAUAAUCAAAACUUAUAAAUGAUAAACCAAAAGUUGAGGUACACUCAUUGCCUUUCAGAAUGAAACCUUCCAAGGGGCCAUGAUCAUAUUGUGACUGGACAAGA